GUGGGUUGGCAGGUGAAGCAGGUUAUGGUUUUAUUCGAAGAAUCCUCUUCCGAUGUGUUUCUAACAUUGAAGAAGCGGCCACGUCACACCAAAGUUUUCGGACAGAUCUAUAUGAAGCCUUACCGGUUACCAAGCAAAAAGCACUCUGUUUCCUACACAUCAAGAUGGCAUGAUAGUCUACCUUCUCCACGUCCUGAACUUUUAUCUAUCCCUCACUUUACGUUACCACUUCCAACGUAUAAUGAAACAGAGCAAACACUCUCUGAUGAAGGCAAAGACGAACGAAUCAACAAGUAGCAGUGAUGAGGACAUUGGCCAUGCAUCACCAACAAGCAUGCGACUCUAUCUGCCCAAACCGCGGAGUACCAGCGCAACGCAGAGCUACCAUCACUGGAGCAAGUCCUAUUAGUAAACGCCCUCCAGUCAAUUUAGAUGAGCUUUGGCAUGAAUUAAAAUUUGUUCGCCAGUGGCGGAGCGACAGUGAAGAGAAUAAAAAGUUACAAUUCUGGAAACCCUUCUACGAUGUUACGAUGGAUUCAUCACUCCCAAAUCGUCUCCAGAUGUUCCGCCCCAAGUGUAAGUAGCGCUCAGUGCACUCACAUCAUCGGCAAUUACGACAGUCACUAUGAGCCGAGAGAACAAAUUAUCGAAUCAACCGAGCGUUGUAAGAACUCUCUGGACCGUGAGGAGAGCAUCCUCGAACAGUCGCUUGCCCGAAGAUUGCAAGUUGCCUUCACUAAAAGAACGCAUGAGAUGUUUUCUUAAAGCUGAUAGUAACAAUCCCAAGCUAAAAUUCCACCUAAAACUUUAAGCUUAAUCAGUAUCCACAAAAUUCAACAAUGUAGAGAAUACAAACUCUUCAAUCAGUAACGUUUAAACAACGCNGUUCUCAAAGGAUUUGUCUUCUCUCCACAUUUCGGUUCCUCUAGUCU
rnacentral:lncRNA from 1 species